ACUGAAAAAAAAUGCACAACCUGGAAGUUGAGAAUUAUGUUUUAUUCAGCGCACUUGCUGAGGACUUGAGCCCGGGAGACAGCCUCUCAGAUACCUCCGAGGGACUGUUGUGAAGAGUCAGAUGACCAAGGCAAGGAAAUGGAAUAGGACCAGGGUACCAGGUGAAAACUUCAUCUCAAGAACAAUGAAGCUUCCUUAGUCAUGAACAGAAAAAGGUGCAGCCAUUCCCAUGGGAUCCGUUUUCUACAUGUCCUGCUACUUCUCUAUCUGACUUAAAAAGUUCUAUCUGAAUGU